rnacentral:rRNA from 1 species
CCUACGGGAGGCAGCAGUGAGGAAUAUUGGUCAAUGGGCGUAAGCCUGAACCAGCCAAGUCGCGUGAGGGAUGAAGGUUCUAUGGAUCGUAAACCUCUUUUAUAAGGGACUAAAGUGUGGGACGUGUCCUGUUUUGUAUGUACCUUAUGAAUAAGGAUCGGCUAACUCCGUGCCAGCAGCCGCGGUAAUACGGAGGAUCCGAGCGUUAUCCGGAUUUAUUGGGUUUAAAGGGUGCGUAGGCGGAAGGUUAAGUCAGCGGUAAAAUGUCGGUGCUCAACACCGGCCUGCCGUUGAAACUGGGCUUCUGGAGUGAGCGAGAAGUAUGCGGAAUGCGUGGUGUAGCGGUGAAAUGCAUAGAUAUCACGCAGAACUCCGAUUGCGAAGGCAGCAUACCGGCGCUCAACUGACGCUGAGGCACGAAAGCGUGGGGAUCGAACAGGAUUAGAUACCCCAGUAGUC